UUUUCACAAAUUUUUUACUUUUUAGAUACACAUCUAAGUAAGGUGCAUCUAAAAAGUAAAAAAAAAUGUUUAAAAUUUUAAAAAUAUUCAUUAAAAACAAAAAAGCCCCAAGAGACCUUGGCGCCUAUCGCCUUUAAUAACACUGGUGGGGAGAGAGAUUAAAGAGGGAGAGAAGAGAGAGUGUGGAAGGUCGUAGUGGUGGUGAGUGGUGGUGGCCCAGUGGAGCGGGGAUGGUUGGAGAAUCGAGGAAAAGAAAGAAGGUGAGGUAAUGAGUGAAUUCACCAAUUUAGGACAAUUGUGCCAUUUGACAAUAAUGUCAAGCCUAACAUUUGAAAUACAAAAUAUCUAGAGUAAAAAGUCAUUUCUAUCACCUCCAUUAAUUCCGUUUGAAGGGAAGUUGGUGGGCAGUCAAUGUAAUUGACCCUAUAUAUUUUAGGGCAAAUUACAUAUACCCCCUUGAGGUUUAGAUAAAUUACAAAUACCCCCCUGAGGUUUUGAAAAUUACAUCCCGCCCCCUGACAAUUAACUCCGUUAACCCAUACAAUAAAUUGACUAAAAUGCCCUCAUGUCAAGUCAAUACUUGCAUUUUAUACUAAAAACAAUUAAACUUCUUUUUUUUUGAACCAGGUUCAACUUCCACUUUCUUCAUUUCUUUAUUUCUUUAUCUGGGAAAGAGACGGAAAAGGCAUUGCAAAGAGGAAAGUGAGAUCUUUAUCUGAGAGAGAGACGGAAAGGCCAUUGCAAAGGGGAAAGUGAGAGUAUUGUUGAUUAUUGUUGGAUGCAUAGAUCUAAAAGAAGAAAAGACCACAAAAAGAAGUUUAGAUCGUUGAUUGAAGAAAAAUCUGAAAUUUGUGAUGUUUUUGUCCAGGAAUUGCUUUUUGUAUAGGGGAUGCUGGAAGGAACUAAAGACUAGGGUAUACUUUUUUGUGUAAUUAGUGGGUAUACUUUUCUAACAUUGUCUUCAUAUUAGUACAUAUUAGAAGACAUGCAUCCUUGCUCACCACAGGUUUUUGAAUUAGGUGGGCUACUACUCUUUUAUUAACUUGGAAAGUUUUUGUUGGACAAGAAUUUGUAUCUAAAUAUGUAAUGUAAUUAAGUAAAUAUUUCAGACUUGUAUUUUGGUGGACAUGAAUAUUUCAGACUUGUAAUUAAUUUUGUUGGACAUGAAUAUGUGAUUAAGUUAGUAUUUCAGACUUGUGUAUCUGAAUUUUUAAGUUAA